CUGGGCUGGCAGCUCUCUCGAGUGUGCAGGAGGGGCCACCUGCUCUCUGUGGCCUGUAUUCUUACGAGGAGCUCCCCUCCUGGAAGGAAGGCACCCGGGGGCUGGAGUCCUGACUCCAGACACCUCUCUCCCCUCUCCAGGAAGUGCAGAAGAGGAAGGCCCUUUAAAAGAGACAGCCCAACUGGUUGAAGAUUAGAGCAAGAGGAAAGGUCCCCGCUGACUAUCAUUUUAGUUCUUCUGUCCCUGUGAACUGAAGUUUCACUGUCCUGGGUUCCUCAUCUAAGCAGAACACAGUUGUGAUGGGUUUCAACUGCUUGCCUACAGUUUGAGACCAAGGAACCAGCCUGGGGACAAAUGAGUGUUGAAGCAACACAAUUCUAACACAAGGUACCAGGAGAAGCCUGGAGACUUGGGCCUAUGUUGAGCACGUGGUCAAAUGAAUAAAGGACUUUAAAUAACAGCUGGGACUGCUGAAGCCUUUAAAGCCUGGUUUCUGUUACUCGGGUACUCUAUACUCUACUAUAAUGCCUUGCCUCCUAUCAAAUAAGGUAGGAGUAUGCAAGAGAAAGAGGUAAGAAUGGCCUGCUGACAGAGAAUGAUUAAGAGGCUAAUGCCACAGUCUGGGGUGGAAGGACCAGUGCUUGGAGGAGACAGAAAGAGAGAGCACUUUGGAGUAGGACUAUCUAUCUAGAUACUCAACCCCUGAUAAUCUCUGCUUGCUUUCAGAGACAGGCAAGAUUUUGAGCUUAGUUAGUUCCUUAUUCUAUUCUCUUUCAGGCUGAGAGCCAGGAAAACAGCCAACUUAUCCUUAAAGGGGCCUGCCACUCUUUCCUGGAUCCGUCUCCAUGCAGAAAAUAACAGCAAAACAUUUCCAGACUCUACCAUUUGCUUGGCACCUUUCAAGUGAAACUUUCAGGAGAGCCUUCCUCUCUUCGUCUGUAAAAUGGGGAUGAUACCAGCAAUGGGGUUUGCUGAGGUCCCGCUGACAUCCUUUGCUGUAAUAAUUGGCACAUAAGAAGUGCUU
rnacentral:sRNA from 1 species